rnacentral:rRNA from 1 species
UUAGUGGCGGACUGGUGAGUAACGCGUGAGCAACCUGCCUACUAGAGGGGAAUAACAGUGAGAAAUCAUUGCUAAUACCGCAUAUGCCAUGAACAUCACAUGAUGAAAAUGGGAAAAGAGUAAUCUGCUAGUAGAUGGACUCGCGUCUGAUUAGAUAGUUGGUGGGGUAACGGCCUACCAAGUCGACGAUCAGUAGCCGGACUGAGAGGUUGAACGGCCACAUUGGGACUGAGAUACGGCCCAGACUCC